rnacentral:rRNA from 1 species
GUCAUGGGGGACUGAUGCAGCCAUGCCGCGUGUGUGAAGAAGGCCUUCGGGUUGUAAAGCACUUUCAGUAGGGAGGAAGGUAGUGUAGUUAACACCUGCAUUAUUUGACGUUACCUACAGAAGAAGCACCGGCUAACUCCGUGCCAGCAGCCGCGGUAAUACGGAGGGUGCGAGCGUUAAUCGGAAUUACUGGGCGUAAAGCGCAUGCAGGCGGCCUGUUAAGUCAGAUGUGAAAGCCCGGGGCUUAACCUCGGAAUUGCAUUUGAAACUGGCAGGCUAGAGUCUUGUAGAGGGGGGUAGAAUUUCAGGUGUAGCGGUGAAAUGCGUAGAGAUCUGAAGGAAUACCAGUGGCGAAGGCGGCCCCCUGGACAAAGACUGACGCUCAGAUGCGAAAGCGUGGGGAGCAAACAGGAUUAGAUACCCUGGUAGUCCACGCCGUAAACGAUGUCUACUUGGAGGUUGUGGCCUUGAGCCGUGGCUUUCGGAGCUAACGCGUUAAGUAGACCGCCUGGGGAGUACGGUCGCAAGAUUAAAACUCAAAUGAAUUGACGGGGGCCCGCACAAGCGGUGGAGCAUGUGGUUUAAUUCGAUGCAACGCGAAGAACCUUACCUACUCUUGACAUCCAGAGAAGCUUGAAGAGAUUCGAGUGUGCCUUCGGGAACUCUGAGACAGGUGCUGCAUGGCUGUCGUCAGCUCGUGUUGUGAAAUGUUGGGUUAAGUCCCGCAACGAGCGCAACCCUUAUCCUUGUUUGCCAGCACUUCGGGUGGGAACUCCAGGGAGACUGCCGGUGAUAAACCGGGAGGAAGGUGGGGACGACGUCAAGUCAUCGUGGCCCUUACGAGUAGG